UACGAGUACCCCAAGCGUUAUCCGGCAUUAUUGGGCGUAAAGGGUAUGUAGGUUGUUAUAUUAGUCUCUUGUCAAAGCCCCCGGCUCACCCGGGGAAUUGCGGGGGAAACGGUAUAGCUAGAGGGCGUGAGAGGUUUGCGGAACUCAUGGUGUAGGGGUGAAAUCCGUUGAUAUCAGGGGGAACACCAAAAGCGAAGGCAGCAAACUGGCACGUUUCUGACGCUGAAAGACGAAAGCGUAGGUAGCGAAUGGG
rnacentral:rRNA from 1 species